rnacentral:misc_RNA from 1 species
GCACAACACAAAUUCAUUCGUCUCAUAUACCGUCAAAAAUUCUCACUUUGAAAUGAAUUUUACUUUUCAAAGAGAAGAAAACAACAGAGAGAAAGAGAGCAAAAGUAUCAUUUUCACAUGCACAAAUACUUUGGAAUCACGAAAUUAACUUUAAAGAAAAGUGGAUCUAACAUGGGUAAUGUCAAGUUCUAAGCUUUUUUCUUUGAAAGAAAGAGAGAAGGGUGGGGAGGGAGA